AGCGAACGCUGGCGGCAGGCCUAACACAUGCAAGUCGAACGGACCCUUCGGGGUUAGUGGCGGACGGGUGAGUAACACGUGGGAACGUGCCUUUAGGUUCGGAAUAGCUCCUGGAAACGGGUGGUAAUGCCGAAUGUGCCCUUCGGGGGAAAGAUUUAUCGCCUGUAGAGCGGCCCGCGUCUGAUUAGCUAGUUGGUGAGGUAAUGGCUCACCAAGGCGACGAUCAGUAGCUGGUCUGAGAGGAUGACCAGCAACAUUGGGACUGAGACACGGCCCAAACUCCUACGGGAGGCAGCAGUGGGGAAUCUUGCGCAAUGGGCGAAAGCCUGGCGCAGCCAUGCCGCGUGGAUGAUGAAGGUCUUAGGAUUGUAAAAUCCUUUCACCGGUGAAGAUAAUGACUGUAGCCGGAGAAGAAGCCCCGGCUAACUUCGUGCCAGCCGCCGCCGUAACAC
rnacentral:rRNA from 1 species